AACGAACGCUGGCGGCAUGCCUAACACAUGCAAGUCGAACGAGACCUUCGGGUCUAGUGGCGCACGGGUGCGUAACGCGUGGGAAUCUGCCCUUGGGUUCGGAAUAACAGUUAGAAAUGACUGCUAAUACCGGAUAAUGUCUUCGGACCAAAGAUUUAUCGCCCAGGGAUGAGCCCGCGUAGGAUUAGCUAGUUGGUGAGGUAACGGCUCACCAAGGCGACGAUCAGUAGCUGGUCUGAGAGGAUGAUCAGCCACACUGGGACUGAGAUACGGCCCAGACUCCUACGGGAGGCAGCAGUGGGGAAUAUUGGACAAUGGGGGGCGAACCCUCAUCCAGCAAUGCCGCGUGAGUGAUGAAGGC
rnacentral:rRNA from 1 species